GCAGGCCUAACACAUGCAAGUCGAGCGAAGUCUUCGGACUUAGCGGCGGACGGGUGAGUAACGCGUGGGAAUGUGCCUCUGGGUGCGGAACAACCGUUGGAAACGACGGCUAAUACCGCAUGACGUCUUCGGACCAAAGAUUUAUCGCCCAGAGAUCAGCCCGCGUCUGAUUAGCUAGUUGGGGGGGUAACGGCCCACCAAGGCGACGAUCAGUAGCUGGUUUGAGAGGAUGAUCAGCCACACUGGGACUGAGACACGGCCCAGACUCCUACGGGAGGCAGCAGUGGGGAAUCUUAGACAAUGGACGCAAGUCUGAUCUAGCCAUGCCGCGUGAGCGAUGAAGGCCUUAGGGUUGUAAAGCUCUUUCACCGGUGAAGAUAAUGACGGUAGCCGGAGAAGAAGCCCCGGCUAACUCCGUGCCAGCAGCCGCGGUAAUACGGAGGGGGCUAGCGUUGUUCGGAAUUACUGGGCGUAAAGCGCGCGUAGGCGGACUGAUCAGUCAGGGGUGAAAUCCCGGGGCUCAACCCCGGAACUGCCUUUGAUACUGUCAGUCUUGAGUCCGGAAGAGGCGAGUGGAAUACCGAGUGUAGAGGUGAAAUUCGUAGAUAUUCGGUGGAACACCAGUGGCGAAGGCGACUCGCUGGUCCGGU
rnacentral:rRNA from 1 species